CCUACGGGGGGCAGCAGUGGGGAAUAUUGGACAAUGGGCGAAAGCCUGAUCCAGCCAUGCCGCGUGUGUGAAGAAGGCCUUCGGGUUGUAAAGCACUUUCAGUGGGGAAGAAAGCCUUGGGGCUAAUACCCUCGAGGAAGGACAUCACCCACAGAAGAAGCACCGGCUAACUCCGUGCCAGCAGCCGCGGUAAUACGGAGGGUGCGAGCGUUAAUCGGAAUUACUGGGCGUAAAGGCGCGUAGGCGGUCUGAUAAGCCGGUUGUGAAAGCCCCGGGCUCAACCUGGGAACGGCAUCCGGAACUGUCAGGCUAGAGUGCAGGAGAGGAAGGUAGAAUUCCCGGUGUAGCGGUGAAAUGCGUAGAGAUCGGGAGGAAUACCAGUGGCGAAGGUGGCCUUCUGGACUGACACUGACGCUGAGGUGCGAAAGCGUGGGUAGCAAACAGGAUUAGAUACCCCAGUAGUC
rnacentral:rRNA from 1 species